rnacentral:rRNA from 1 species
UACGGAGGGGGCUAGCGUUGUUCGGAAUUACUGGGCGUAAAGCGCGCGUAGGCGGCUUUGCAAGUUAGAGGUGAAAGCCCGGAGCUCAACUCCGGAACUGCCUUUAAGACUGCAUCGCUAGAAUUGUGGAGAGGUGAGUGGAAUUCCGGGUGUAGUGGUGAAAUGCGUAGAGAUCCGGAGGAACACCAGUGGCGAAGGCGACUUACUGGACAAAUAUUGACGCUGAGGUGCGAAAGCGUGGGGAGCAAACAGG